AGGAGGGACCCUUUCCAUCUUCNANAGUGGCCAGUGNCNUUCACCAUCUCCCGUUCCGUCCCUAAUGUUCAGCACACAUGAAUGCUGGAGCUGCCCUGGUCCCUCUCUUGCCACUGUCCUUCAUUUGAUGCUCACAACUCCCUGUCCUGAUCCGGGGCCGGCCUGCCNUCUCCCANGGAANCAGAGGUUGCCAAGUGGUUUCUCCGAAUGGGGCCCCCCNCCCCCA
rnacentral:misc_RNA from 1 species